rfam:Gossypium raimondii Chr12_contig_533, whole genome shotgun sequence.
AAUUUGUGGUACGGACAUUUUUGAAUCAACAUUUUGAAUCAUUCUCAUGCCUCAUAAAAACUUUCUUCUAUCAUCUAUCUAAAGACAAAAAUCUCUCUUCUUAGUU